rnacentral:rRNA from 1 species
GAAUAAUUAAACGGCCGCGGUACCCUAACCGUGCAAAGGUAGCGUAAUCAUUUGUCUAUUAAUUGUAGACCCGUAUGAAAGGCAUAAUGAGGGUUUAACUGUCUCUUUUAGUAAAUCAAUUAAACUGAUCUUCUAGUCCAAAAGCUAGGAUACCAACAUAAGACCAGAAGACCCUGUGAAACUUUAACUAAAAUAUUAAAGCCUAUAAUAACUACUUUAGGUUGGGGCGACCUUGGAAAAUAAAAGAACUUCCAUACACAUAUUAUACAAUAAUAUACCACCGGCCAACAAGCCUACAACGACCCAGCACAGCUGAUAAUUGAACCAAGCUACUCCAGGGAUAACAGCGCUAUCUUCUUCAAGAGCCCAUAUCAAAAAGAAGGUUUACGACCUCGAUGUUGGAUCAGGACAUCCUAAUGGUGCAACCGCUAUUAAGGGUUCGUUUGUUCAACGAUUAAUAGUCCUA